GACGAACGCUGGCGGCGUGCCUAACACAUGCAAGUCGAACGGGGGUAGCAAUACCCCAGUGGCGAACGGGUGCGUAACACGUGAGGAACAUUCCCUCCGGUGGGGGAUAGCCGGCCUAACGGCCGGGUAAUACCGCAUACGCUGUUCGGGGUGCAUACCCUGGAUCGGAAAGCAGCAAUGCGCCGGAGAGGUGCCUCGCGGCCUAUCAGCUAGUUGGUGAGGUAACGGCUCACCAAGGCGACGACGGGUAGCUGGUCUGAGAGGAUGGCCAGCCACAUUGGGACUGAGACACGGCCCAGACUCCUACGGGAGGCAGCAGUGGGGAAUCUUGCGCAAUGGGCGAAAGCCUGACGCAGCGACGCCGCGUGUGGGAUGACGGCCUUCGGGUUGUAAACCACUGUCGGGAGGGACGAAGCUCUGACGGUACCUCCAAAGGAAGCACCGGCUAACUCUGUGCCAGCAGCCGCGGUAACAC
rnacentral:rRNA from 1 species